GACGAACGCUGGCGGCGUGCUUAACACAUGCAAGUCGAGCGGUAAGGCCCUUUCGGGGGUACACGAGCGGCGAACGGGUGAGUAACACGUGGGUGACCUGCCCUCAGCUCUGGGAUAAGCCUGGGAAACCGGGUCUAAUACUGGAUAUGACUCCAUGACGCAUGUUGUGGGGUGGAAAGCCUUGUGCGGCUGAGGAUGGGCCCGCGGCCUAUCAGCUUGUUGGUGGGGUGAUGGCCUACCAAGGCGACGACGGGUAGCCGGCCUGAGAGAGCGACCGGCCACACUGGGACUGAGACACGGCCCAGACUCCUACGGGAGGCAGCAGUGGGGAAUCUUGCGCAAUGGGCGAAAGCCUGACGCAGCGACGCCGCGUGAGGGAUGACGGCCU
rnacentral:rRNA from 1 species